GACGAACCGUGCGAACGUUAUUCGGAAUCACUGGGCUUAAAGGGCGCGUAGGCGGGUCACCAAGUCCGGGGUGAAAUCCCACGGCCCAACCGUGGAAGUGCCUUGGAUACUGAUGACCUCGAGGGGGGGUAGGGGCGUGCGGAACUCAGGGUGGAGCGGUGAAAUGCGUAGAUAUCCUGAGGAACACCGGUGGCGAAAGCGGCGCGCUGGACCCCCUUCUGACGGCUGAGGCGCGAAAGCCAGGGGAGCAAACGGG
rnacentral:rRNA from 1 species